CACGUAGGGCGCGAGCGUUGUUCGGAGUUACUGGGCGUAAAGGGUGUGUAGGCGGUUGUUUAAGUUUGGUGUGAAAUCUCCCGGCUCAACUGGGAGGGUGCGCCGAAUACUGAAUGACUAGAGUGCGGGAGAGGAAAGUGGAAUUCCUGGUGUAGCGGUGAAAUGCGUAGAUAUCAGGAGGAACACCGGUGGUGUAGACGGCUUUCUGGACCGUAACUGACGCUGAGACACGAAAGCGUGGGUAGCAAACAGG
rnacentral:rRNA from 1 species